UACGUAGGGUGCAAGCGUUGUCCGGAAUUAUUGGGCGUAAAGAGCUCGUAGGCGGUUUGUCGCGUCUGCUGUGAAAACUCGAGGCUUAACUCCGGGCCUGCAGUGGGUACGGGCAGACUAGAGUGCGGUAGGGGAGACUGGAAUUCCUGGUGUAGCGGUGAAAUGCGCAGAUAUCGGGAGGAACACCUAUGGCGAAGGCAGCUCGCUGGGACGUUACUGACGCUGAGACGCGAAAGCGUGGGGAGCAAACAGG
rnacentral:rRNA from 1 species